rnacentral:rRNA from 1 species
AUUGAACGCUGGCGGAAUGCUUUACACAUGCAAGUCGAACGGCAGCACGGGAGCUUGCUCCUGGUGGCGAGUGGCGAACGGGUGAGUAAUGCAUCGGAACGUACCCAUGAGUGGGGGAUAACUGUCCGAAAGGACAGCUAAUACCGCAUAAGCCCUGAGGGGGAAAGCGGGGGAUCCGAGGUUAACGGAGGACCCCGCGCUGAUGGAGCGGCCGAUGUUGGAUUAGCUAGUUGGUGGGGUAAAGGCCUACCAAGGCGACGAUCCAUAGCUGGUCUGAGAGGAUGAUCAGCCACACUGGGACUGAGACACGGCCCAGACUCCUACGGGAGGAAGCAGUGGGGAAUUUUGGACAAUGGGGGCAACCCUGAUCCAGCCAUUCCGCGUGAGUGAAGAAGGCCUUCGGGUUGUAAAGCUCUUUCGGCAGGAACGAAACGGUGGCCCCUAAUACGGGUUGCUAAUGACGGUACCUGAAGAAGAAGCACCGGCUAACUACGUGCCAGCAGCCGCCGUAAAAC